GACGAACGCUGGCGGCGUGCUUAACACAUGCAAGUCGAACGGCAAGGCACUGCUUGUGUGGUGUGCUCGAGUGGCGAACGGGUGAGUAACACGUGAGUAACCUGCCCUUGACUUUGGGAUAACUUCAGGAAACUGGAGCUACUACCAUAUAGCAGCUCCUGCUGCGUUGUAGGGGUUGGAACGUUUCGGCGGUUGGGGAUGGAUUCGCGGCUUAUCAGCUUGUUGGUGGGGGAGUGGCUUACCAAGCCUUUGACCGGUAGCCGGCCCGAGAGGGUGACCGGGCACAUGGGGACUGAGAGACGGACCAGACUGCUAUGGGAGGCAGCAGUGGGGAAUAUUGUACAACGGGCGGACGCCUGAGGCAGCAACGCCGGGGGUGUGAUGACGGCUUUCGGGUUGUAAACCGCUUUCGCCUGUGACGAAGCUUGAGUGACGGUAAUGGGUAAAGAAGCACCGGCUAACUACGUG
rnacentral:rRNA from 1 species